GUCGAACGGUGAACACGGAGCUUGCUCUGUGGGAUCAGUGGCGAACGGGUGAGUAACACGUGAGCAACCUGCCCCUGACUCUGGGAUAAGCGCUGGAAACGGCGUCUAAUACUGGAUAUGUGACGUGAUCGCAUGGUCUGCGUCUGGAAAGAAUUUCGGUUGGGGAUGGGCUCGCGGCCUAUCAGCUUGUUGGUGAGGUAAUGGCUCACCAAGGCGUCGACGGGUAGCCGGCCUGAGAGGGUGACCGGCCACACUGGGACUGAGACACGGCCCAGACUCCUACGGGAGGCAGCAGUGGGGAAUAUUGCACAAUGGGCGCAAGCCUGAUGCAGCAACGCCGCGUGAGGGAUGACGGCCUUCGGGUUGUAAACCUCUUUUAGCAGGGAAGAAGCGAAAGUGACGGUACCUGCAGAAAAAGCGCCGGCUAACUACGUGCCAGCAGCCGCGGUAAUACGUAGGGCGCAAGCGUUAUCCGGAAUUAUUGGGCGUAAAGAGCUCGUAGGCGGUUUGUCGCGUCUGCUGUGAAAUCCGGAGGCUCAACCUCCGGCCUGCAGUGGGUACGGGCAGACUAGAGUGCGGUAGGGGAGAUUGGAAUUCCUGGUGUAGCGGUGGAAUGCGCAGAUAUCAGGAGGAACACCGAUGGCGAAGGCAGAUCUCUGGGCCGUAACUGA
rnacentral:rRNA from 1 species